rnacentral:piRNA from 1 species
GUUGGAGGUCAGAGAAAAAGAUU